rnacentral:rRNA from 1 species
CUUGGAGGUUGUGCCCUUGAGGCGUGGCUUCCGGAGCUAACGCGUUAAGUCNACCGCCUGGGGAGUACGGCCGCAAGGUUAAAACUCAAAUGAAUUGACGGGGGCCCGCACAAGCGGUGGAGCAUGUGGUUUAAUUCGAUGCAACGCGAAGAACCUUACCUGGCCUUGACAUCCACGGAAUUUGGCAGAGAUGCCUUAGUGCCUUCGGGAACCGUGAGACAGGUGCUGCAUGGCUGUCGUCAGCUCGUGUUGUGAAAUGUUGGGUUAAGUCCCGCAACGAGCGCAACCCUUAUCCUUUGUUGCCAGCACGUAAUGGUGGGAACUCAAAGGAGACUGCCGGUGAUAAACCGGAGGAAGGUGGGGAUGACGUCAAGUCAUCAUGGCCCUUACGGCCAGGGCUACACACGUGCUACAAUGGCGCAUACAAAGAGAAGCGACCUCGCGAGAGCAAGCGGACCUCAUAAAGUGCGUCGUAGUCCGGAUCGGAGUCUGCAACUCGACUCCGUGAAGUCGGAAUCGCUAGUAAUCGUAGAUCAGAAUGCUACGGUGAAUACGUU